UCCCUGGUGGUCCAAUGGUUAGGACUCAGCACUUUCAUUGCUGUGGGCCCAGGUUCAAUUCCUAGUUGAGGAA